rnacentral:lncRNA from 1 species
UCAUAGGCAUUUCCUCCACAAUUUCUCUCACUCUUUUUUUUUUUUUGAAGUGAGAAAAAAAAAGCUCCUUAGGAGAAAUUAUGUAACUCUAGAAACACCAGCCAGCAUUUGAGACAUCCUGUGACAGUGAAAAGCCAAAUUCCAGAUGUUGGGUUUUGAUACUCUAAAGCGAUGUGUGCACGGAAGGGAAGGAUUGCAGGCGGGUCAGGAACUCGUUAGAGAAUUGAUGGUCCCCCCACCCCACCAAGGCGCACAUGGUUAAGAGUUCAAGGCAGGCAGCUGAAAAAGGCUUCAAGGGACAGGUCAAGUUGGCCAGGACCUUCAGCCCUGUCCGCUGAGCAAGGAACGGUCCUCCACCUUCAGAUGUCUGGCCUAUCUUCCCUCCUGAUACUUUCAACAAGCUUUUACCGAUGGCCAUCUGAGGUAGGACGGAUAGGACGAGGUGCUUGCAGAAGUUAGUUUAUUCAUUUUCCUUUGUGCGGGAAAGGAAAUAAAAGAUUUCCCCCCCUUUCAAAUAUGAAGUAGAUGCUCAUUUCUCUGUUUUAGUUUUGUCAUAGCUGAGAUUCCUCAGGCCACACGCAGACAUGCUUUUUAGUUUGGGCAAGAAGUAAACAGCCAAAGCUCAUAAAUUAUAUUCAGAAAUAUUUGGUGCACUUAGUUGUGUAGAGGAGUUUUAAAGGAAAGGAAAGAAAACUGAGACUGGGUAAAAACAAGCUUUAUCUAGAGGAAAACGAAAUCCUUCAUUGUUUGAAGACUUGAAAGCAGUCACCAAGAAACAAAAAUGAACUUUUGAAGUUUUCAAAGGAAUCAUAUUCUGCUUCCAACGUUAACAGCACGGAAAAUAUAUCUUGAUUUCAAUAUUUUUGGAUUAAGUGUCCCAAUGACAGGGUGAAGAAGUGGUUGCUUUUAAGAGCCGAUGAAUCACGAAGAAAAAGAAACUGCUCCUGGAACUAAUCAGUGAUCUAAUACGGAACCGCUCUGGGGUCAGACGGUGGGCAGGAGUCAGAGAAUCUGGCUUCUCAUCUUCCAUUCCUGGGGAGGGAAGCCUGCAUUGCCCUCCUGUGUCUGAAAGAGAUUCCACUCACACCACAGUCAUUUCCACGUGCUGGAAUCCAGCCCACCUUGAGGUCCAUCUCAAAGGACUCCUUCUCCCUGGAGUGACACAGCUCACAGUGCUCUCGCUGCCCUGACUGUUGGGGUGAAGGCAAAAUAAAAACAGAGAAGGAAACA